UACGUAGGGUCCGAGCGUUGUCCGGAAUUAUUGGGCGUAAAGGGCUCGUAGGCGGUUUGUCGCGUCGGGAGUGAAAACACACAGCUUAACUGUGUGCUUGCUUCCGAUACGGGCAGACUAGAGGUAUGCAGGGGAGAACGGAAUUCCUGGUGUAGCGGUGAAAUGCGCAGAUAUCAGGAGGAACACCGGUGGCGAAGGCGGGUCUCUGGGCCGAUACUGACGCUGAGGAGCGAAAGCGUGGGGAGCGAACAGG
rnacentral:rRNA from 1 species